AACGAACGCUUGCGGCAGGCUUAACACAUGCAAAUCGAGCGCCCCGCAAGGUGAGCGGCAGACGGGUGAGUAACGCGUGGGAAUCUACCCAUCUCUACGGAAUAACGCAUGGAAACGUGUGCUAAUACCGUAUACGUCCUUCGGGAGAAAGAUUUAUCGGAGAUGGAUGAGCCCGCGUUGGAUUAGCUAGUUGGUGGGGUAAAGGCCUACCAAGGCGACGAUCCAUAGCUGGUCUGAGAGGAUGAUCAGCCACACUUGGACUGAGACACGGCCCAGACCCCUACGGGAGGCAGCAGUGGGGAAUCUUGGACAAUGGGGGCAAGCCUGAUCCAGCCAUGCCGCGUGAGUGAUGAAGGCCGUAGGGUUGUAAAGCUCUUUCACCGGUGAAGAUAAUGGCGGUAACCGGAGAAGAAGCGCCGGCUAACUUCGUGCCAGCCGCCGCAGUAAUAC
rnacentral:rRNA from 1 species